rnacentral:rRNA from 1 species
CUCCUACGGGAGGCAGCAGUGGGGAAUAUUGGACAAUGGGCGAAAGCCUGAUCCAGCCAUGCCGCGUGUGUGAAGAAGGUCUUCGGAUUGUAAAGCACUUUAAGUUGGGAGGAAGGGUUGUAGAUUAAUACUCUGCAAUUUUGACGUUACCGACAGAAUAAGCACCGGCUAACUCUGUGCCAGCAGCCGCGGUAAUACAGAGGGUGCAAGCGUUAAUCGGAAUUACUGGGCGUAAAGCGCGCGUAGGUGGCCAAUUAAGUCAAAUGUGAAAUCCCCGAGCUUAACUUGGGAACUGCAUGUGAUACUGGUGGUGCUAGAAUAUGUGAGAGGGAAGUAGAAUUCCAGGUGUAGCGGUGAAAUGCGUAGAGAUCUGGAGGAAUACCGAUGGCGAAGGCAGCUUCCUGGCAUAAUAUUGACACUGAGAUUCGAAAGCGUGGGUAGCAAACAGGAUUAGAUACCCUGGUAGUCCACGCCGUAAACGAUGUCUACUAGCCGUUGGGGUCCUUGAGACUUUAGUGGCGCAGUUAACGCGAUAAGUAGACCGCCUGGGGAGUACGGCCGCAAGGUUAAAACUCAAAUGAAUUGACGGGGGCCCGCACAAGCGGUGGAGCAUGUGGUUUAAUUCGAUGCAACGCGAAGAACCUUACCUGGUCUUGACAUAGUGAGAAUCCUGCAGAGAUGCGGGAGUGCCUUCGGGAAUUCACAUACAGGUGCUGCAUGGCUGUCGUCAGCUCGUGUCGUGAGAUGUUGGGUUAAGUCCCGCAACGAGCGCAACCCUUUUCCUUAUUUGCCAGCGGGUUAAGCCGGGAACUUUAAGGAUACUGCCAGUGACAAACUGGAGGAAGGCGGGGACGACGUCAAGUCAUCAUGGCCCUUACGACCAGGGCUACACACGUGCUACAAUGGUAGGUACAGAGGGUUGCUACACAGCGAUGUGAUGCUAAUCUCAAAAAGCCUAUCGUAGUCCGGAUUGGAGUCUGCAACUCGACUCCAUGAAGUCGGAAUCGCUAGUAAUCGCAGAUCAGAAUGCUGCGGUGAAUACGUUCCCGGGCCUUGUACACACCGCCCGU